rnacentral:rRNA from 1 species
UACGAAGGGGGCUAGCGUUGCUCGGAAUCACUGGGCGUAAAGCGCACGUAGGCGGCUUUUUAAGUCAGGGGUGAAAUCCUGGAGCUCAACUCCAGAACUGCCUUUGAUACUGAGAAGCUUGAGUCCGGGAGAGGUGAGUGGAACUGCGAGUGUAGAGGUGAAAUUCGUAGAUAUUCGCAAGAACACCAGUGGCGAAGGCGGCUCACUGGCCCGGUACUGACGCUGAUGCACGAAAGCUAGGGGAGCAAACAGG